rnacentral:tRNA from 1 species
GGUUUCGUGGCCGAGAGGCUUAGGCAACGGUCUGCAAAACCGUCUACAGCGGUUCGAAUCCGCUCGAAACCU